AGAGUUUGAUCAUGGCUCAGAACGUACGCUGGCGGCACGCCUAACACAUGCAAGUCGAACGAAGUAGCAAUACUUAGUGGCAGACGGGUGAGUAACAUGUGGGUAUCUACCCUUUGGCCUGGAAUAACACGAGGAAACUUGUGCUAAUACCGGAUAAGUCUUUACGGAGAAAGCUUUAUGCACCAUUGGAUGAGCCCGCACUUGAUUAGUUUGUUGGUAGGGUAAUGGCCUACCAAGACUAUGAUCAAUAGCUGAUUUGAGAGGAUGAUCAGCCACAUUGGGACUGAGACACGGCCCAAACUCCUACGGGAGGCAGCAGUGGGGAAUCUUGCACAAUGGAGGAAACUCUGAUGCAGCGAUGCCGCGUGAGUGAAGAAGGCCCUUGGGUUGUAAAGCUCUUUCGUCGGGGAAGAAAAUGACUGUACCCGAAUAAGAAGGUCCGGCUAACUUCGUGCCAGCAGCCGCGGUAAUACGAAGGGACCUAGCGUAGUUCGGAAUUACUGGGCUUAAAGAGUUCGUAGGUGGUUGAAAAAGUUAGUGGUGAAAUCCCAGAGCUUAACUCUGGAACUGCCAUUAAAACUUUUCAGCUAGAGUAUGAUAGAGGAAAGCAGAAUUUCUAGUGUAGAGGUGAAAUUCGUAGAUAUUAGAAAGAAUACCAAUUGCGAAAGGCAGCUUUCUGGAUCAUUACUGACNCUGAGGAACGAAGCAUGGGUAGCGAAA
rnacentral:rRNA from 1 species